AUAGCUUGCUAUUUUUAUGAAGAGCGGCGAACGGGUGAGUAACGCGUGGGAAAUCUGCCGAGUAGCGGGGGACAACGUUUGGAAACGAACGCUAAUACCGCAUAACAAUGAGAAUCGCAUGAUUCUUAUUUAAAAGAAGCAAUUGCUUCACUACUUGAUGAUCCCGCGUUGUAUUAGCUAGUUGGUAGUGUAAAGGACUACCAAGGCGAUGAUACAUAGCCGACCUGAGAGGGUGAUCGGCCACACUGGGACUGAGACACGGCCCAGACUCCUACGGGAGGCAGCAGUAGGGAAUCUUCGGCAAUGGGGGCAACCCUGACCGAGCAACGCCGCGUGAGUGAAGAAGGUUUUCGGAUCGUAAAACUCUGUUGUUAGAGAAGAACGUUAAGUAGAGUGGAAAAUUACUUAAGUGACGGUAUCUAACCAGAAAGGGACGGCUAACUACGUGCCAGCAGCCGCGGUAAUACGUAGGUCCCAAGCGUUGUCCGGAUUUAUUGGGCGUAAAGCGAGCGCAGGUGGUUUCUUAAGUCUGAUGUAAAAGGCAGUGGCUCAACCAUUGUGUGCAUUGGAAACUGGGAGACUUGAGUGCAGGAGAGGAGAGUGGAAUUCCAUGGGUUU
rnacentral:rRNA from 1 species